rnacentral:rRNA from 1 species
UACGGAGGGGGGCUAGCGUUGUUCGGAAUUACUGGGCGUAAAGCGCACGUAGGCGGCUUUGUAAGUUAGAGGUGAAAGCCCGGGGCUCAACUCCGGAAUUGCCUUUAAGACUGCAUCGCUAGAAUUGUGGAGAGGUAAGUGGAAUUCCGAGUGUAGAGGUGAAAUUCGUAGAUAUUCGGAAGAACACCAGUGGCGAAGGCGACUUACUGGACACAUAUUGACGCUGAGGUGCGAAAGCGUGGGGGAGCAAACAGG